rnacentral:rRNA from 1 species
AUUGAACGCUGGCGGCAGGCCUAACACAUGCAAGUCGAACGGUAACAGGAAGCAGCUUGCUGCUUCGCUGACGAGUGGCGGACGGGUGAGUAAUGUCUGGGAAGCUGCCUGAUGGAGGGGGAUAACUACUGGAAACGGUAGCUAAUACCGCAUAAUGUCGCAAGACCAAAGAGGGGGACCUUCGGGCCUCUUGCCAUCGGAUGUGCCCAGAUGGGAUUAGCUUGUUGGUGGGGUAACGGCUCACCAAGGCGACGAUCCCUAGCUGGUCUGAGAGGAUGACUAGCCACACUGGAACUGAGACACGGUCCAGACUCCUACGGGAGGCAGCAGUGGGGAAUAUUGCACAAAGGGCGCAAGCCUGAUGCAGCCAUGCCGCGUGUAUGAAGAAGGCCUUCGGGUUGUAAAGUACUUUCAGCGGGGAGGAAGGGAGUAAAGUUAAUACCUUUGCUCAUUGACGUUACCCGCAGAAGAAGCACCGGCUAACUCCGUG